rnacentral:rRNA from 1 species
UACAGAGGUCUCAAGCGUUGUUCGGAUUCAUUGGGCGUAAAGGGUGCGUAGGCGGCGCGGUAAGUCGGGUGUGAAAUCUCGGAGCUUAACUCCGAAACUGCAUUCGAUACUGCCGUGCUUGAGGACUGGAGAGGAGACUGGAAUUUACGGUGUAGCGGUGAAAUGCGUAGAUAUCGUAAGGAAGACCAGUGGCGAAGGCGAAUCUCUGGACAAUUACUGACGCUGAGGCACGAAGGCCAGGGGAGCAAACGGG